ACUCCUGAGCCAGCGAGACCACGAACCCACCAGAAGGAAGAAACUCUGAACACAUGCGAACAUCAGAAGGAACAAACUCCGGACACGCUGCUUUUAAGAACUGUAACACUCACGGCAGGGGUCCGCGGCUUUAUUCUUGAAGUCAGUGAAACCAAGAAACCACCGAUUCCGGACACAAUGUGAGAACUUCACUGAAGCAGAAUUACCAAAGAAACCAGCUUCUUCAUUACAGGCUAUCAGUGUAAUUCACAGCCCACAAGAAAGAAACACACCUUCUUAAGCUGACUUCUGUAUAAGGCUCGUGCUUCAGUGGUCCUCGGGAUGACAAUCAUGACUUUGUCAGACAGACACAACCCAGACUCGUGACUUAUGCCUCAACAAGACCUUGGGCUUCCACCCAGAGAAGGACUCAGUGCACAAGGAUCAUUUUUCUUACCCUUAUCAUAGCAUCCACAACCAAUUGGCAGUACCCAUUCCCUAACCCCUGCCCACUAAACCACCCUUAAAAACCCCUAACUUCCAAGGCUUUAGAGAGAAUUAUUUGAGUAAUAGCUUCAUCUCCCAUGUGGCUGGCCU
ensembl:lncRNA novel transcript